rnacentral:rRNA from 1 species
AUUGAACGCUGGCGGCAUGCCUUACACAUGCAAGUCGAACGGUAACGGGCCUUCGGGUGCCGACGAGUGGCGAACGGGUGAGUAAUACAUCGGAACGUGCCCGAUCGUGGGGGAUAACGAGGCGAAAGCUUUUCUAAUACCGCAUACGAUCUACGGAUGACAGCAGGGGACCGCAAGGCCUUGCGCGGACGGAGCGGCCGAUGGCAGAUUAGGUAGUUGGUGGGAUAAAAGCUUACCAAGCCGACGAUCUGUAGCUGGUCUGAGAGGAUGAUCAGCCACACUGGGACUGAGACACGGCCCAGACUCCUACGGGAGGCAGCAGUGGGGAAUUUUGGACAAUGGGCGCAAGCCUGAUCCAGCCAUGCCGCGUGCAGGAUGAAGGCCUUCGGGUUGUAAACUGCUUUUGUACGGAACGAAAAGCCUUCUUUUAAUACAGGAGGGUCAUGACGGUACCGUAAGAAUAAGCACCGGCUAACUACGUG